rnacentral:rRNA from 1 species
UACGUAGGGCGCAAGCGUUGUCCGGAAUUAUUGGGCGUAAAGAGCUCGUAGGCGGUCUGUCACGUCUGCCGUGAAAACCCGAGGCUUAACCUCGUGGCUUGCGGUGGAUACGGGCAGACUAGAGGUAGGUAGGGGAGAAUGGAAUUCCCGGUGUAGCGGUGAAAUGCGCAGAUAUCGGGAAGAACACCCGUGGCGAAGGCGGCUCUCUGGGACGGUACUGACGCUGAGACGCGAAAGCGUGGGGAGCGAACAGG